UGUUAAUAUAAUUGUUUUUAUUAUUAAUAUUAUUUUUUUUUUGAAUUAAAGAAAUUUGGGUUAUUGUAUAAUUAAUAAAUUAAAUUAUUUUUACUAUAGUUUAUUAGUACUGUGAAGGAAAUUUUAAUUAUUUAUUAUAAUAUAAUAAAGGUAAUUUUAUUUAUUGUAUCUUGUGUAUCAGAGUAGGUUUAAAUGGAUUAUAAAUCUUUUUAUUCUCGAAUUUAAAAGAUUUAAUUAAAAAUAUUAGUUAUUGUAUUAUAAAUAUUAAUAAUUUUUAAUUGGCAAUGAGAUGUUAAACGUUUUUAAGGAUAUCUAGUUUUUUAAUAAACGAAUUUAAUUUGUAAAAUAUAAAUUAUUAAAUAAUUUUUUUUAUUAUUUAUAUUUUAUAUUUUUAAUUUUAAGGGGGAUUAACUUUUUAAAAUAUUUUUAUAAUAAUAGAUAAAAUUAGGAUUUUAUAAAUUUAGAAUUUGUUAAUAAUUAAAGGAUGUUAAAAUUUUAUUCUUCAUUAUUAUAAUUUUUAAUUUUUGUUUAAUAUUUAUAUUAAAAUGUUAUAUUUAAUUUUAAAUUUUUAGAAAAUAUGAUUUAAUUAGUAAAAAUUAAUUAUAUAAUUUAUUAUUUGUUUGUAAUGUUAUUAUAAAGAAUUAGGCAAAUAUUUCACUCGCCUGUUUAUUAAAAACAUGGUUUCUUGAUAUUUUUUAAGAAAUUUAACCUGCCCACUGAAUGUUUUUGAAGGGCCGCAGUAUUUUGACUGUGCAAAGGUAGCAUAAUCAUUAGUCUUUUAAUUAAGGGCUGGAAUGAAUGGUUGGACGAGGUGAAUUCUGUUUUAUAUUAAUUUAAGUUGAAUUUAAUUUUUAAGUAAAAAAACUUAAAUGUUAUUAAGGGACGAGAAGACCCUAUAGAGUUUAAUAUAUAUAAUAAUUAAUUGAGUUAUAAUUUAAUUUUUGGUUAUUAUAAGGUAUAUUUAAUUGGGGUGAUUAAGAGAUAGAUAAAACUCUUUUUAAAUAUUAAUAAAAUAUUUAGUUAUAUGAUCCAUAGUUAAUGAUUGUAAGAUUAAAUUACCUUAGGGAUAACAGCAUAAUUCCUUUUAAGAGUUCAUAUUGAAAAAGGAGAUUGUGACCUCGAUGUUGGAUUAAGAUUGAUUUUGGGUGUAGAUGUUCAAUAAUUAGGUCUGUUCGACCUUUAAAAUCUUACAUGAUCUGAGUUUAAACCGGUGUAAGCCAGGUUGGUUUCUAUCUUUAAUUUAAUUAAAUAUUUUAGUACGAGAGGACCAAAUAUUUAAAAUAAUUUUUGUUAAAUUGAAUAUUGUUAAUUUA
rnacentral:rRNA from 1 species